GGCCUCCUCGUGCUUACCAUAGGCUGUGUUCUUACACUGACUGUAUAGAAAGAGGAGGUGGAGUAAACCUAUCCAUAUACACCUCAGCUCAAGUUCAGGCCCCAUGCCUGGUCUGUACUGUGAAUGGGGGAACACAG
ensembl:snoRNA